GUAUCAGGAGAGAUCCCAGAGUCGGGACCGUCCCUGAUCGACACCACAUGUUCCCAAAUUGAGCGAGGGAGCUCAGCUCUUCGAAUUUCCGCGCCUCAGGGGAACGAUAACCGCGGGAUUCUCCGGUGUAUGUCGGAAGGAUUAUCCUUUGGUGCACUUCCUGAAUUCCACCUUCGAAAUGACGUUGACCUCAUCACAGAAGAGCCGAAUGAACACCGAGCUCGUUGAGGAAACUUCAGACUGCUUGAUGAGGAUUCUGCACAGAGUUGUCGCCGACCAGGCGGAUCAGGGGCUCUCUGAGGAAAUCUACGAUCUGGAUCAGAACAUACUGUCGCUGCAGAGUCUCGGAGCCGUGUAUGCCUCGGAGAAGAGGAACCGAAUAUCCGAGCAAGAGGCCUCGAGACGAGUGUACAAAGCUGUCAGCGAAAUGUACAACCAGAAACACGCGUCGAACUGAAGUUUUUCGAAGGAUCUUGGAGGGCAACUCGGCUCAUUCAUCGUAUCCUUAUGUUCGUACCUGUAUCGUUCAUAGAGUAUCUCGUACCUGAUUCCCCUG